rnacentral:rRNA from 1 species
CCUACGGGUGGCAGCAGUGGGGAAUAUUGGUCAAUGGGCGCAAGCCUGACCCAGCAACGCCGCGUGAAGGAAGAAGGCUUUCUGGUUGUAAACUUCUUUUUUCAGGGACGAAGCCAGUGACGGUACCUGCUGAAUAAGCCACGGCUAACUACGUGCCAGCAGCCGCUGUAAUACGUAGGUGGCAAGCGUUAUGCGGAUUUACUGGGUGUAAAGAUCGUGUAGGCGGGAAAGCAAGUCAGAUGUGAAAACCAUGGGCUCAACCUGUGCCCUGCAUUUGAAACUGUUUUGCUUGAGUACUGGUGCGGCAGACGGAAUGCAUGGUGUAGCGGUGAAAUGCGUAGAUAUUA